ensembl:misc_RNA Metazoa_SRP Metazoan signal recognition particle RNA
GCCGGGCAUGGUGGCGCGUCCCUGUAAUCCCAGCUACUUGGGAGGCUGAGGCAGGAGAACCGCUUGAACCCAGGAGGUGGAGGUUGCAAUGAGCCGAGAUUGCGCCGCUGCACUCCAGCCUGGGCCAUACAGCAAGACUGUCUAAAAAAAAAUAAGAUAAAAAUUUGAACAAUCGAGGCUGCAGUGAGCUGUGAUCGCAUCACUGCACACCACCCUGGGCAACAGAGUGAAACCAUGCCUCU